rnacentral:rRNA from 1 species
GGUUACGAAUUCGCCCUUGAGUUUGAUCAUGGCUCAGGACGAACGCUGGCGGCGUGCCUAACACAUGCAAGUCGAACGGCCCGCCCCGUUGGAUCCCUUCGGGGAGAAGAUGGGUUCCCGGGCAGUGGCGGACGGGUGAGUAACGCGUGGAGAACCUGUCUCUCAGUUGGGGAUAACCUGGCGAAAGUCGGGCUAAUCCCGAAUACGCUCUUGAGGUGGCAUCACUUUGGGAGGAAAGGUGCUUUCGGGCAUCGCUGAGAGGUGGCUCCGCGUCGGAUUAGCUAGCUGGUGGGGUAACGGCUCACCAGGGCGACGAUCCGUAGCUGGUCUGAGAGGAUGAUCAGCCACACUGGGACUGAGACACGGCCCAGACUCCUACGGGAGGCAGCAGUGGGGAAUCUUCCGCAAUGGGCGAAAGCCUGACGGAGCAACGCCGCGUGAACGAAGAGGGCCUUCGGGUCGUAAAGUUCUGCCCUCAGGGAAGAACCCUCAUGGGAGGAAAUGCCCAUGAGCUGACGGUACCUGGGAAGGAAGCCCUGGCUAACUACGUGCCAGCAGCCGCGGUAAUACGUAGAGGGCAAGCGUUGUCCGGAAUUACUGGGCGUAAAGGGUACGCAGGCGGAUAUAUAAGUCAAAUGUGAAAGGCACCGGCUCAACCGGUGAGCGGCAUUUGAAACUGUAUAUCUUGAGUUCAGGAGAGGAGAGCGGAAUUCCUGGUGUAGCGGUGGAAUGCGUAGAUAUCAGGAAGAACACCAGUGGCGAAGGCGGCUCUCUGGCCUGAAACUGACGCUCAGGUACGAAAGCUGGGGGAGCGAACGGGAUUAGAUACCCCGGUAGUCCCAGCCGUAA